CCAGCCUGAGCAACAGAGCGAGACUCCAUCUCAAAAAAAUAAAUAAAUAAAAUUUUUAAAAAAUUACAUAAGAUAUACAUGACUCUUUUGAGUGAAAAUCAGAAAAGAGACAUAAGUCAAAUUGAGAUAACCGUUACCAACACUUUGGGACAUAUAGCAGGGUUUCAGUUAGCAGUGGAUGACAUACACGGUGGUGGUCCUGUAAGAUUGUAAUGGAGCUUAAAAAUUCCUAUCACUUAGUGAUGUUGUAACUGUUGUAAUAUUGUAGCACGGUUUGUUUUUAAAAUAAAUUUAGCCUAAGUGUAGGGUGUUCAUAAAGUCUACAGUACUGUACAGUAACGUCCUAGGCCUUUACUUUCACUCACCACUGACUCACCCAGAGCAACUUCCAGUCCUGCAAACUGCAGUCACAUUAAGUGCCUUAUACAGGUGUACCAUUUUUUUUAUCUUUUAAAGAAAUUUUGUAUAAAUUUAUGGGGUACAAGUACAAUUUUGUUACAUCUAUAGGUUGCAUAGUGGUGAAGUCAGAGCUUUUAGUGUAUCCAUCACCCAAGUAACAUAUGUUGUACCUACGUUAUGUUUAGAUACACAAAUACAUAACCGUUGUGUUAGAAUUGCCUACAGUGUUCAGUACAGUAACGGGCUGUACAGGUUUGUAGCCUAGGAACAAUAGGCUAUACCAUGUAGCUAUACCAUCCAGGUUUGCAUACAUAGACUCUAUGAUCACCCAGUGAUGAAAUCACUUGUAAUGCAUUUCUUAGAACAAAUCCCCAUCCUUAUGCAACAAAUGAGUAUACAUUUCUUAGUUUGUUUUGAAUACAGAAUUCCAAAAACUUCUUUAUUUUUCCAUGAUAUACUGUAAACAUCAUUUACAUAUAAAACAUUUUAAUGGAUAUAUUGUGUUUGCUGUUUGGACAUGACAUAAUUUAUUUAACCAGUCUAAUGUUGAUGUACAUUGUUGUUCCUUAUUUCUUACCAUUGCAGUAAUUUUACUGUAGUUAACAUUUGGAUUUAUUUUUCAUAGAAUGAAUUCUCACAAGUCCAAUCGCUGUGUCAAAGCAUAUGGCCUUUUAAAAGGCUUUGGUAGCCUGUUGCCUAAUUGUCUUCCGAAAAGAUUCCCCACAUCCUGGUCAAUUCUUCAGCAUAUACACGGCCAUCUCUAUAUUAAGACACUUUAUAUUAAGAUUUGUAAACCUGUUGACUACUGUCACAGGCCACCACCACUCUGGGCAUCUUCAGGUCAUGCUACAUGUUCACCAGUCCUUCCAGCAGUGGGCAGUGCAAAGCUUCCCUCCGCCCACAAGGUUUCUGUGAUCUUUAGCCUUUAUUGUGCAGUUUACUUGUUAACCGGCUUAUAAUGUAUUCAGCCUAUGCUAAUCAUUGACUCCUUUUGGGAAGGGUAGAAGGUAAAAGAUGUAUACAAUCUCUCAGCUGACCUUUUUUUAAUGUUGGGGAAGAAUAAUGAACAACUUUUAUUAUCUACCAUAGACGGCCAGUCUUCUGCUUCUAGGAUGCUCUCCCACCAAUGUGUCCAUCUAUGCUGUCAGCCCUAAAUGCCAGUCCUGUGUAGGAAGUCCUGUGUUCAUUCAGAAAAGUCACCCAGUGUCCAUCCAUUUAUGUCCAUCAUAUUAAAAACAGUUGAGUUAUAUGAUAAAACAUGCUACCAUUAAAUAUUUUAACAGAUUUAAAUAAUAUGAGGAAAUUAUUAAUGGUUGUGACAUGUUAAACAGGAUAAACAAUUUUUUUAUAAUAUAAACUUUUACAUCUAUCAUCUGAAUUAUGCGAGAACAAAAAACAUAGAAAAAAGAUAGGAAAGUACCUUGGGAAGCUGAGGCCGGAGGACUGCUUGAGCCCAGGAACUCAAGAUCAGCCUGGGCAACAUGGCGAAACCCUGUCUCUACAAAAUGUUUUUUAAAUCUAGCCAGACAUGGUGACAGGUACCUUAUAGUCCCAGCUGCUCAGGAGGCUAAGGUGAGAGCAUCACUUGAGCCCAGGAGUUCAAGGCUGCGGCGAGCUGUGUUUGCACUCCAGCCUAGGUGUCAGAGUGAGACUAUGUCUUUAAAAAAAAAAAAAAGAAGAAAGAAAUGUAUUAUAACAUUAGGAGUUGUAGGCGGCAACAUUACAACCAGUAUUUUUCUGAUUACGAUUUUGUAUGUUACAGAUAUUCUAUAUUGAGCGCAUUAUACCAAUAAUCAGAAAACAUUGCUGAAUCAUUUUGUCUUUAAAGAAUCAUCUAAUAGGGAUGGGAAGGAAUACAAAAGUUGUAUUAAGUAAAUGGGAUGAAGCUCUCAGUUCAGAGAUCAAGAUGAUUGGGGGAUAAGAAGAAGAAAAACAUUCCUGCAGGACUGGUCUGGGCAGAAGAGGAGUUGUGGUAACUAGAUAUGAGGAGAAAGAGAGGAAGGAGGCACAGAGCAGUUGGAGCUUGCUGCCUGGAAGAAUGACGUUUUAGAGACAAGGUCUGACUGUGUUGCCCAGGCUGGACUUCAACUCCUCAGUACAAGUGAUCCUCCUGCCUGAGCCUCCUGAAUAGCUGGGACUACAGGCCUGCACCACCAUACCCUGCUCUAGUUACACAAAUCUUAAAAUGAUGCUGUUAUGUUAAUUCAAUUAAGAAAGUAAACUAGUUCUAUGAUCCAAGCACAUAGUUGUGACUCAAUUCAUGUUGUUGUUUUUAAUCCUGAAAUGAUAUUGUAAAAUAAGAGCUUUGCCUUAAAGUUUUUGUUACUCAGUUUUUACAUUUGAGGUAAGAAGGCAAGUGGCAGGGAAGAAUGAUUAGCAAUAAAGCUUUUUAAAAGUUCUUCAGAAACAGUAGACAAUUGGUUGAGUCAAAUUGACCUAUAAUGACUAUUCCCAGGAAUUUCCUAGUUCUUAUUCCUUUGGAAGGAAUUGUAACUACCUUAUGCCAUGUAAAGAAUGCUGCUAUUUUACGUUUAUUACAAAGAUGUGCCUACAGAUAAGAAUCAAACUGGAGAACUUUAAAAAUGUUUUAACUUUACCUGAUCUUUUUCUUAGAAAGCUAACUGUAAGUAGGAUAUGGUGCCAAGAAAAAUCAUCAGCCUGAUACUGUGAAAAAAAGACACCCUAUUAAUAUGCCCACAACAUUAUCAGCAAGCUAAGUAACAUCCCUGGACCUUAGUUUCAUUAUAUUUUUAACUAAGUAUGUAUCAGAGCCCUUAACACAAGCCCAAUAUAUUUUGGAACCUCAAUAAAUAGUGGUUUUGCUGAUUGUCUUUUUAACAAUUUCUAAAAUAUUGAAUACUGGUUAUUAUAAUUAAAUGUAUUCUAAACAUCUAUUCUUUCUGUCUCAUGCCUUGAUCUAGCCUGUUCCUUCCACCUAGAAUGCCUUUUCCUUCCUUUUCUCACAUAGCAAUCUUUGACAUAUCCUUGAAGACUGAGCUCUCCCAUCAGCCUGGGAGGCCUGGCCUGAUCUGGAAGACGGUUCAGCACGUCUUUCUCUGUUGCCAUAGUGCGGGAUUUUUGUCUAUUUUCAGCAGGUCGUUCCAGACUGCAAGCCUCUGGAGGGCAGUGACUCGAUCCCAUUCAGCUCCAUAUCCCCACUACCAGCAUGGCAUGCAUUGGGGGUGUCCAUACAUAUACAGAACAGAAACUUUCAGGGUUUGGCCAAUUUUACUUUUCCUUAGCAUGUAUUAUCAUAAAGUGAUGUAAGUACUAUAUGCCUGGAUUUGUCUUAUUACUACAUCUAUUUGUUAGUAAAAGGAGGUUACAUGUUGCCUUAGUGGUUUCUUUGCACUUAAAUAUUUUUUAAAUUAUUUGGUUCUUGGCUGGGAACUUAGUCCAAUAUGUCUGCUAAAGUAUUUCCCAUUUCUUGCCACCUCUACAAUAGUGCCAUAAUUUCCAAGUUGAUUUGACAUGUAUCAUCUUUAUUCUCACAAUCCUGAGAGGUAUAUAGAGCAAGAAUUAAGUUCUACAUUUAACAAAAGAGAAAACACACAGAGAUUGAUUGGCUCUAGGUUAUAUAGCUAACUGGUAACAAACCAAUUUUUAUUAAAAUUAAUUUUAAAAAUUUAACUUUUAAAGUUUAUCUUAAAUGAUGAACAUCGCUUGUGUUUUUCUUGCAUGUAGUUUCUAUUUUAGGAGAAUUUGCCUAGGGGUAGUUCUGAAACCAAGUAAAAGUAAUUGGAUUAUGAAGGUCUUCUACCUUAAACUAGCUGUCAACUUUAAACUCAACCAUUUAAUAAUUAAAUUUAAACUUUACAUUUGUUUAAUUUAGUAAUGUUUCUUCACAUUAAUCAAUUUUUCAAAUUAGGAAAGUAAUAAAUGACAAAAAUGGAAGAACAUUUAUUAAAGAUAGAAAAAAUGUUUAAUGGUCUUGUACAUAUAAAUGGUGUUAAUGUUUUGGCUUCAUUUUAAUAAAGCUUUUAUUAAAUAGUGUCAGAGAGAGUGGUGGUUAUUUUGUAAAGAAAAUGUAAAAUCUUUUUUCAAAUUAUAAAAUUACUUGCUUAUUUUCAUACUUGGUGAGAGCCAAAUUAAAAUUAUUUAUAGUUUAAUGGGCUACUUUUCUAAUAUUUGCUAGAUAAGAACUUCACUUGAAUAAAAUAUGUCACAUAAAUUUAUACAACAUUUUUCACAGUGAAUGUGGUUCUCAAAAAUUUUAUUUCUAAGUUGGAACAGAAAAAGAUAAGAAAUAUAAAUAUGUAUAAUGAAUAUAAAUUGAUUUCUUAAUACUUUCUACUCUGACUGAAUAUCAAAAUUAAUUAAUAUGCUCUUUGAAUCCUAGAAAAAAAGCUAAUAGUUUAAGUAUUAGUAAUGUACUAAAAUUAAAAUGACCUUAAAAAGGGAUUCAGGUAUUUCAUGCUAAAUUUUCCUUUGAUUUUAAGUUACCAACUGAUAGAGUACAAAAGUGAUAACUUUCUGAAUAUUGUUGCUGUAAACAAGCAUAUAUUCAGUUCCUCCUGUGUGAAAAGAAGCCAAAUGUAAUGAUUGUGGUCUUAUUCAGCGACAAAGUGCUGAUGAUAUUAUUUCCAUAGACAGUACAAUUCUGCAGCUGGCUCUGUCAGUCUAGGAAGAGAGCUCACUAAAUAAAGACCAUGAAGUAAUUUGCAAUUCAGGGGCAGCAUUUUAAAGGAAAUGAGCUGAAAGUCUACUCAUUAAAGUCAAAGGAAACCUUGUGCUUUUUUUUCUUUUCAAUAUAUUUGUUUCUUCAAAGUGUAGCUAUACCAGCUUGCAUAGCCCAUAUUGGGAAUUCAGAAAAAGGUGACACUGUUAAAAAUUUUACUUUACUUUUUGGAGAAGUUCCUUGGAGAUAGAUCUUUUGGGGUAAAAAAAUUAUUUGGGUGUCUGGAAUUUAAACCUACGUUGCUCGUUUCAUUUCAGACAUAUAAGAAAUGAGUUUCAGAGGCAUUUGUUAGUUGUCUGUUUCCUCGCAGUGUAAGACUGUCAAGCAUAUAAAUGCAGGAGCCCCAGUGGCCUGAAAGCAGUCAAGAGUUCCUACCCUCCUUGGCUCAAUGGAAACGCAAGUGAACUAUACAGCGUUCAAUGGACCAAUCAACAGGGCAAAAAUCAGUCUCCUGUUGGAUACGCAGGAAAGGUAGCUUCUGCUCCUAAAAACGGAAAAGAAAGGAAAAAGGAAGCACCGUAUAGGUCUGACCUCAGAAUACAAAGUCUGAAAAACAAAUGGGGAAGGUUACACACUUGCUGACACAAUCCUUUCUCUGAUGCUAAGAAUGCAUUUCUGUGGCAAUACACAAGGACUCCUUCUAUUACCUUAGCCUUGAAGGUGCCAGCUUGAGAGGGCAGAGACAGGAAAAAUCCCACCCUGCCAAGCCUAUGGUCCCGUUCUAGGCUCUGAACGACCUGAAGACAGGUACAGUCUCAUGAAUCUUUGUAUCCUCAGUGCCUUGCAGUAGCUGGCAUGUGUCAGCUAAUCAAUGAAUUAAUAAAUUAGUAAAUGAAUGCAUCAACCAAAUUCAUUCCACUGUGAUGACUUGAAUAAAUAUUCAAUGAUUAAAUCGGUGCAACCAAAACUAAAUUAAUUGCUGCCCUAAUUAAUUUAUCAGUAGGUGUGGCAGUGGCAUCUGGUUCAUACACCAAUUCUCAGUAACACCCAAUUGAUGUUGUCUUUUCUAGAUGUUCUGUUAUCUGGAAGAGGCUCUGAGGACCAGUCUUCACAUGUUUCUGUCCAGGUUAUCUUACUAAAAUGCUCCAGAAGUUCAUAUGUUUUAAAAAUAAAACAUCUAGACUCUGUGAUCUUGGGCAAGUUGGUAAAUUUGUCUGAGACUCAGUUUCUUCAGCAGUAAAAUGGGGAUACCAGUAGGAACAACUUCACAGAGUUGAUGUGAGAGUUAAAUGAGUCAAUGAAUGUAAAGUGCUUGGUGCAGUGCAUGGCACCAAAUGACAGUAAAUGUUGAUGACUUUUCCUCCUCCUGCUUGCACCAAGUGACAAUAAAUGUUGAUGAUUCCUCCCCCUCCCCCUCCCCCUACCUCUCCCUCUCCUCCUCCCUUUCUUCCUUCUCCUUCUCCUUCUUCUUUCUUCUUCUUACCAUUAUCACCACCACCACAGCCUUUGCAAUUUUUUGUUUUCUAUUUCCCACUAAGAUGCUAGUAUAUCCUUGCCUACUUAGAGGAAGUGUUCUGAACUCUGACCGUCUCUUCCUUGUUUAGGAGAAUUCAAAGAAUUCUGUUACAAUUUCACCUGGGAUCUCCAUAGGUGACUAUUGCUUUUUUUUUUUUUUUUUUUUUUGAGACGGAGUCUCGUUCU
rnacentral:lncRNA from 1 species